UGGAGUGCUCUCCUUAAAAAGGCGCAGCAAUUUUUUAACUGCGUGUGCCUUCCAGAACUUGUGAGUAAGUAUUUCACUCUGGUUAGAAGACAGGUGAUUCUUCAAGAGAUUACUGCACCUGGAGGAACUCAGCAGCAACCCAUGCAGCCCGACGCCUCUUUGUUAAGUCCUCUGUCUGCGUUCCGUAUUUUCUUUUCCAAGUGGGGAAUACGAAAAACCACCUUGGAUGACGAAAGUCUUCAAACCAUUCUAUGUGAAGUGGAAGCUAUCCUUAAUGAUCGCCCCAUUACAAAGGUUUCGGAUGAUGUAAAUGAUUUGGAAGCUCUAACUCCAAAUCAUAUUCUGCUGCUCAAAGGAAAGCCUACUGUUGCUCGUGGUGUUUUUCAAGAAAGUGAUGUUUACCUCAGGAAACGUUGGAGACAAGUGCAGUAGCCUACCUCUCUGACCUGUUCUGGAAAAGGUGGACAAAGGAAUUUCUACCUUUGCUGCAAGAAAGACAGAAAUGGUCCAGACCUCGGCGAAGUUUUGCUGUUGACAAUAUCGUGGUGGUUGUGGAUCGUUCUGCUCCUCGUGGUUCUUGGAUCCUCGGAAGAGUUACAAAUACUUACCCAGAUAAACAUGGACUUGUGCAUGCUGUACAGUUGAAGACACAAACAGGACAACUGGAAAGACCCAUCUCCAAAAUAUUUCUUCUUCAAGAAGCCAUUUGAACCAGUAUAAAAAAAAAAUGCUUGGGCCUGCACAUUUCUGGGGCUCCUGUUUUGAUGUUUGUUGAAUUGUGCUGUCUACACAAUUGGGGCCGGUGUGUAGGAGCCAUUUAUAGUUGUUGGUGUUUAGGUAUUGUUUGUUUCUGGGUUAUUUGUUUUGGGUGGUGGUGACCUAUAUUCUGCUCUACCACUGGUGGCGGUGUGGAGGGGAAGGCUUUAUAGGUAAGAUGUGAGAGGGCAGAAAGGGUUUUGGGUGACGGGAGGUCAUACAGUUUUUACCGCUUUCUUUGGCACACAAUAGCCUGCUUCCUCUGGUUAAAUUCUGUUAUUUUCACAUUCUCCAUAGUUACCUUUCCAUCUCACUUGUUGUAAAGACCGCCACUCGGAUUGUUUGGAAAGUUUGUUCAUAUACAAACGCACUUCAAUAAAUGGGAACGCCCAUACCUUAUAUCCUGGUUUCGACAUCCUCUUUUAAGCGUGUUAAAUUCUAGAUUCCCCGCACCCACAAGCGACAAAAAGGUGGUUGAUAGUCACUACAGGGAAUAUAAAAAAAGCCUAAACAACCAAAACUUUCGCGACCCCCAUGCAAUACCUCUGUAGACCCCCUGUUGAAGACCUCCGCACUAAGACAUCAUGGUUCCCCUCCUGAAACCGGUACGUAUCAAGGCCCGUCCAGAGGACUCAUGGGAGAAAGUCAGGUGGUCAGUUGAGACCAAAAUAGAACUUUUUGGGCAUAAUUCCACUAACCGUGUUUGAAGGAACAAGAUUGAUGAGCACCAUCUCAAGAACACCAUCCCUACUGUGAAGCAUGGGGGUGGUGCUGGAAAUAUAUGAUUACUUUCAUGGCCUUCACAGGAUACUUGCAUUUCAUAAAAUGUAAAUAAAAUACAUUAUUUGUGAUUAUGAGAAAAAAGUGUAAAAAGUCCAAGAUUAGUCAAAGCUUUUGCAGGAAACUAUGGUGUCUGAUGAAACUACAGUUUGUUAGAGCUGAAGGAAAACAUUUGGAGUGGGGAAAAAAACGAGGAACCUAUAAAGUAACUUGCAAAGAAACAAUAACUGAAUCAUUGUUUCUCAGUUAUUCUUGAGAUAUUGCUUUUUUACAAGCAGCUCAGUAUUUUUCUGCUUCAGUUGCUUUUCUUUGGACAAACUGUAGCCUGUUACCCCUUAACACUACACCAAAACUAGCAAACUGCUAUCCAAAUCAAUAUCCUUGUAUCAAGGGUUUGGGUCAGAAUGUUAAAAAUUACACAGUUGGAGAAUUAAUGGGAAAUAAUGGUUUAAACCCACAGAGAUGGUUUUGUGAUGAAUAUAUUAAGACUAAGCUUUUGGAAUUGUUCUGACCUUGACCCUGUUGAACAUUUAUGGACCUAUCAAGUCUGUACAACAUAGGAAACAAAUGUCAAUGAGCCCUGCCAAAUUCUGUUAAGAACAAUGAUCUAAUAUCCAAUCAGAAUAUCUUUAAGAUGGAAACUUUUGUGGAAACAUUUUAAAAUAGCUUCUGUUUAUCAUUUUGUUAAAUCUACUAAAAGUAAUACAUGUUUAGGCCCAUUGUAUCUAACCUUUCUGUUUUUUUGAGGAGAUGUCUGCAUGAAGAUCAAGGUGAAACUCUCUCCUUGGUUUAAGGUUAAUUUGGUAUCAACAUUCUUUA